UAACACCAGCAGCCCAAGUGGUGACCACGAUUAUUGGGCCUAAAGCGCUCGUAGCCGGAUCAGCAAGUCCCUUGUGAAAUCGGGCCGCCUAACGGUUCGGCGUGCAAGGGAUACUGUUGGUCUUGAGGCCGGGAGAGGUCGGAGGUACUCCUGGGGUAGCGGUGAAAUGCUCUAAUCCUAGGGGGACCACCAGUGGCGAAGGCGUCCGACCAGAACGGACCUGACGGUGAGGGGCGAAGGCUAGGGGAGCGAACGGGAUUAGAUACCCCGGUAGUCCUAGCUGUAAAGCAUGCGGGCCAGGUGUCUAGCGCUCCUCGAGGGCGCUAGGUGCCGGAGGGAAGCCGUUAAGCCCGCCGCCUGGGAAGUAGGCCGCAAGGCUGAAACUUAAAGG
rnacentral:rRNA from 1 species